GCACUUAAUUUUUUUUGGAAAUUUUGAACAUUUGUGCUGCAACCAUGGUUACAGUAGAUAAUUCCAAAAUUCUAAAAGCAGACAUCUCAUUGCCACAUGUCAUGUUAUAUAUCAAUACAGUUUCAUUUACUUUGGUUCACUACUCUCUGAGAAAAUGCUGAUUUUAUGCAUUUUUCCAUAGGGUCAAUGCAAAACUUGGCCCCAGUUUCCAUGACAACGGCGGCCAUUUUGAACUAUCCAUAUAUUGUCCCCCGCUGCAAUUUUUUCCCUCCAUAAUCAUAUAUACCAUUUAAUGUCUCUAGAGUAAAUUUAACAUUGAUGUUCUGGAAUGUUCUGUGAAAAUUCAAAGUUUUGACCUUUUUGCAUUGUUUCCAUGGUAACUACAGAUAUUUUGGAAAUUCCAACGCCAAAUGCCACAUCUUCCAAUGUUGCUCAUCGUUACUGUGAAGUUUCAUGAAGUUUGGAGCAUUUUGAUAUUUUUGAAAUUUUUGGUGUAGUUUCCAUGGCAACAUAGUAGGUCCAAUGAGUGCCAAAAUCAUCCAACACCUGUAUAUAGUGGGCACCUACAUUGUAUUAAAAUAUGGUGAUUCUGAGUGUAAGCAUAUUCAAACAGUUCACCAAAACAAAAAACUAGAUUUUUUCACAUUUGUUCUGUUUCCAUGGAAACGGUAGCC
rnacentral:lncRNA from 1 species